rnacentral:rRNA from 1 species
CAGCCGCCACGGGAAUACGUAGGCAGCAAGCGUUGUUCGGAAUUACUGGGCGUAAAGAGUGUGUAGGCGGUGCUCUAAGUUCGGUGUGAAAUCUCCCGGCUCAACUGGGAGGGUGCGCCGGAAACUGGAGUGCUCGAGCGUGGGAGAGGAAAGCGGAAUUCCUGGUGUAGCGGUGAAAUGCGUAGAUAUCAGGAGGAACACCUGUGGUGUAGACGGCUUUCUGGACCAUUGCUGACGCUGAGACACGAAAGCGUGGGUAGCAAACAGGAUUAGAGAACCGCGUAGUCCCUGUCUCUUAUAC